rnacentral:rRNA from 1 species
UACGUAGGGUCCGAGCGUUGUCCGGAGUUACUGGGCGUAAAGCGCGCGCAGGCGGCGGUGUUGGCCCGGCGUGAAAGCCCCCGGCUCAACCGGGGAGAGUCGUCGGGGACCGCACCGCUUGAGGGCGGUAGGGGCUGGUGGAAUGCCUGGUGUAGUGGUGAAAUGCGUAGAGAUCAGGCAGAACACCUGGGGCGAAGGCGGCCAGCUGGGCCGUCCCUGACGCUGAGGCGCGAAGGCGUGGGGAGCGAACGGG